GACGAACGCUGGCGGCGUGCUUAACACAUGCAAGUCGAACGGAAAGGCCCUGCUUUUGUGGGGUGCUCGAGUGGCGAACGGGUGAGUAACACGUGAGUAACCUGCCCUUGACUUUGGGAUAACUUCAGGAAACUGGGGCUAAUACCGGAUAGGAGCUCCUGCUGCGUGGUGGGGGUUGGAAAGUUUCGGCGGUUGGGGAUGGACUCGCGGCUUAUCAGCUUGUUGGUGGGGUAGUGGCUUACCAAGGCUUUGACGGGUAGCCGGCCUGAGAGGGUGACCGGCCACAUUGGGACUGAGAGACGGCCCAGACUCCUACGGGAGGCAGCAGUGGGGAAUAUUGCACAAUGGGCGGAAGCCUGAUGCAGCAACGCCGCGUGCGGGAUGACGGCCUUCGGGUUGUAAACCGCUUUCGCCUGUGACGAAGCGUGAGUGACGGUAAUGGGUAAAGAAGCACCGGCUAACUACGUG
rnacentral:rRNA from 1 species